rnacentral:lncRNA from 1 species
CACCCACGCACGCAAACUCCUCUCUGUUAAUCAACAGAGCAACCCACUUCUCUCUCUCUCUCAUUCUCUCUCUUCCCCAAACCCUUUUGCCUCUUCAUCUUCCUCAUUCUCUCCCUUUCCCAACUUCACAGACAAUCCCCACCUCCCAAAUCCCCAUUCUCCUCUUCCCCCCACUCCUCUCUUUCCCUCUAUUUUACCCCCCACCUCUCCCCGACCCUAAAUCCCAAAUCCCG